UACAGAGGGGGCAAGCGUUGUUCGGAAUUACUGGGCGUAAAGGGCGCGUAGGCGGCCUUCUAAGUCGAACGUGAAAUCCCCGGGCUCAACCCGGGAACUGCGUCCGAUACUGGAAGGCUUGAAUCCGGGAGAGGGAUGCGGAAUUCCAGGUGUAGCGGUGAAAUGCGUAGAUAUCUGGAGGAACACCGGUGGCGAAGGCGGCAGCCUGGACCGGUAUUGACGCUGAGGCGCGAAAGCCAGGGGAGCAAACGGG
rnacentral:rRNA from 1 species